GCGCUGCUGUGACUGGUUUCUGCUGAAGCUGGGAAACGUGUCGGUGGUUUGACACAGUCCCAGUUUAACAGGAGGAAGCUGGGACUCCGCGUGGACCGACCACCGUCCCCGGCUGCUUCCCACCCGGGAUCCCAGCGGGUCUAACGGGCUUAAAGGGAUAGUGCCGAUGAAGUGAGGGUGAAGUGUUCGAGUCCACAGAAACACUUUUGGAGUUUCAGGGUUACACAGCGUUGCAGCCAAAUCCACUACAAUAAGCAUUUCACCCUGUAACGCAUAAUGAAGUCCAACCACUG